UCUUGGUGCAUAGCUCCUCUCAGGUUCCCC
rnacentral:piRNA from 1 species